AAUUUUAGACAAUGGGCGCAAGCCUGAUCCAGCCAUGCCGCGUGAGUGAAGAAGGACUUCGGGUUGUUACGCUCUUUCGGACGGAAAGAAAUCCCCCAGUCUAAUACCCUGCGCGGAUGACGGUACUGUCCUAAGAAGACCCGGCUAACUACGUGCCAGCAGCCGCGGUAAUAAUUAGGGUGCGAGCGUUAAUCGUAAUUACUGGGCGGAAAGCGUGAGCAGGCGGUUGAUUAAGACAGGCGUGAAAUCCCCGGGCUUAACCUGGGAACUGCGCUUGUGACUGGUCAGCUAGAGGACGGCAGAGGGGGGUGGAAUUCCACGUGUAGCAGUGAAAUGCGUAGAGAUGUGGAGGAACACCGAUGGCGAAGGCAGCCCCCUGGGCCGAUACUGACGCUCGUGCACGAAAGCGUGAGUAGCAAACAGG
rnacentral:rRNA from 1 species